GGCUCCUUGUUCUUCACGUGU
rnacentral:snRNA from 1 species